AGACUCCUACGGGAGGCAGCAGUGGGGAAUAUUGCACAAUGGGCGCAAGCCUGAUGCAGCGACGCCGCGUGAGGGAUGAAGGCCUUCGGGUUGUAAACCUCUUUCAGCAGGGAAGAAGCGCAAGUGACGGUACCUGCAGAAGAAGCGCCGGCUAACUACGUGCCAGCAGCCGCGGUAAUACGUAGGGCGCAAGCGUUGUCCGGAAUUAUUGGGCGUAAAGAGCUCGUAGGCGGUUUGUCGCAUCUGCUGUGAAAACUCGAGGCUCAACCUCGGGCUUGCAGUGGGUACGGGCAGACUAGAGUGCGGUAGGGGAGACUGGAAUUCCUGGUGUAGCGGUGGAAUGCGCAGAUAUCAGGAGGAACACCGAUGGCGAAGGCAGGUCUCUGGGCCACAACUGACGCUGAGGAGCGAAAGCAUGGGGAGCGAACAGGAUUAGAUACCCUGGUAGUCCAUGCCGUAAACGUUGGGCACUAGGUGUGGGGCUCAUUCCACGAGUUCCGUGCCGCAGCAAACGCAUUAAGUGCCCCGCCUGGGGAGUACGGCCGCAAGGCUAAAACUCAAAGAAAUUGACGGGGGCCCGCACAAGCGGCGGAGCAUGCGGAUUAAUUCGAUGCAACGCGAAGAACCUUACCAAGGCUUGACAUACACCGGAAACUUCCAGAGAUGGUUGCCCCGCAAGGUCGGUGUACAGGUGGUGCAUGGUUGUCGUCAGCUCGUGUCGUGAGAUGUUGGGUUAAGUCCCGCAACGAGCGCAACCCUCGUCCUAUGUUGCCAGCGGGUCAUGCCGGGGACUCAUAGGAGACUGCGGAGUGACUCGGAGGAGGGCGGGACGAC
rnacentral:rRNA from 1 species